rnacentral:rRNA from 1 species
GAUGAACGCUGGCGGCGUGCCUAAUACAUGCAAGUCGAGCGAAUGGAUUAAGAGCUUGCUCUUAUGAAGUUAGCGGCGGUCGGGUGAGUAACACGUGGGUAACCUGCCCAUAAGACUGGGAUAACUCCGGGAAACCGGGGCUAAUACCGGAUAACAUUUUGAACCGCAUGGUUCGAAAUUGAAAUGCGGCUUCGGCUGUCACUUAUGGAUGGACCCGCGUCGCAUUAGCUAGUUGGUGAGGUAACGGCUCACCAAGGCAACGAUGCGUAGCCGACCUGAGAGGGUGAUCGGCCACACUGGGACUGAGACACGGCCCAGACUCCUACGGGAGGCAGCAGUAGGGAAUCUUCCGCAAUGGACGAAAGUCUGACGGAGCAACGCCGCGUGAGUGAUGAAGGCUUUCGGGUCGUAAAACUCUGUUGUUAGGGAAGAACAAGUGCUAGUUGAAUAAGCUGGCACCUUGACGGUACCUAACCAGAAAGCCACGGCUAACUACGUGCCAGCCGCCGCCGUAA